CGCGCCGAGCCCGUGUUCCCGCCACGCCCAGGGUACGGCGCCGCGUUGACGCCGUGCGUCGUCGGGACCUGAAGUCCCUGCACCAGUACAACCUUAAAUCUGAGAAGAACAAGGCCACUAGAGCACUGCAACUGAAUGGAAGGCACACCACUGGAUCGAGAAGCAAUGCAGUUGUUUUAGAUCAAAUGGAACUAAAGGAAGGAAGACAAAUAGGCCGUGCUGAGCUCUAUAUAGCAACACAUACCAGAAAAAAUGGACAACCAAUUGAUGAUUACAGCUUUGAAAAAAUUGAUGAAAUCUGAAGAAGAUUUCAAGAAGACCCUUCUUUGACUGCUGAGGAUACUCAUGACAAUGAUUUAUUCUCAACAUUGUUCCCAAAAGAGAGGAGUGGAAGGAGGACUGGCCUUGGCCUGUUAGCAGGUGGUGUGGGCUCUGCUCGCAUAUCUGAAGCUUUAUUUGAAAUGCAGGAAGUGAAGGAAGAAAAUAAAAAGCUUUGGGAUGUGGUCAAAACACUAAUGUCAAAUCAAUCUAAGUUACAGCAGCAAUACAGUGAACUGAAAACUCAAGUUUCAGGCUCCCAAAAGUGCUCUCUGUUGAAACUAGUUCAAGGGUUGGUACAGUAGAUGGGCAACAUUUUGCAUGAGAAGAAAGAUGAUAAUCAAGAAUCAAUUUCACAUUCAAAUAAGAGACAUGGAGUAGAACUUGAGGAAAUUGAAAAUGUUAGGAUGCAAAGUCUGCAAAAAAUAAAGAAAGAGACAUCACAACACACAUUUCUGGGAAAUACCAAGGACAAGACACCUCCACAAAGUCUUCCAGAGCUAUCGAAGAAACCAAGAAAGUUUCAGGCACCACUUACUAAGGAUGAUAUGAAAGAUAUAAAGUGUGGUAUGGAGAUUGGUCUCAUAUCUCCAAAUAGUAAAAAGUUGGUGGCACUAGGGACUGUUCAGAAAACUGAUAGGAAAGCUAAAGCUAAUGAUGGUCAACCAUUGGCGGAUUAUAUUGAGGUACUAGUCAGUAUUGUUUAUAAACAAACAACCAUAUUGCCUCGUUCACAUGGGAAGAUACAGAAUCUGGGAAGUGCUACUGCUCGCUGCAUGCCAUGGCCUCGGCAAAAUAUCAUUUGUAGAGAUGGCACUCCAUUGCACUCUAAACAGGUUUGUAGCCCCAUUAGCAAAAUCACCCCAAACACAAGAUGAACUGUAGGACCAAAAAGGUCAACAUCAAAAGCUGAUGCUACAAGGUUGGACAAAGGCCAAGUUGCUUCACAAGGUUUGCUAGAAAAGAAGCAAGCAAAGAGGAAUGUGAGUAAAGAAGAAACAGAGCAACUUACAUCAUCCAAGUAUGUAGAGGGCCACAAAAGCAACAUACAUAUAACAACGUCUCGAUGUUAGUACAAUUAAAAGAGCAAUUGACAAGUGAGGACAACAGACAUGUAUAUAGCUGGAUGUGGGCAUGCCAUUUUCAAGCAAGAGUAACAUAAUUUGGUUCCUAAACAUUGAUGUCCAGUACUGUGGCAACAUAGUAUAUUUAGAUGGAUUUAUACUUACAUAUGUAUAUAUAUAGCUGUGAUGUGGACACUCUUAUAAAAGGAGAAAGAAACUUGCAUCAGGAAUGGGGACCUAGACAUCAGGACUUGGAACAUCAUUUGAAUUGACUAUUUUUCAACCUUAUUGAUUGUGUUUGGUUACAAAUAUAACUGUGUAUAGCCUGAAAGGUUAAAUGUUUGGAUCAUGUUGUUAACGUGUAUUUUCAUUGGUUAAUUUCUCAAUGGAUGUUGCUGUU